CAUGUAGGCGGAGUGAUCAGUCAGUGGUGAAAUCUCCCGGCUUAACCGGGAGCGUGCUACUGAUACUGUCAUUCUUGAGUUCGGAAGAGGAAAGUGGAAUUCCUGGUGUAGCGGUGAAAUGCGUAGAUAUCAGGAAGAACACCAGUAGCGAAGGCGGAUUUCUGGUCCGAUACUGACGCUGAGAUGCGAAAGCGUGGGGAGCAAACAGGAUUAGAUACCCUGGUAGUC
rnacentral:rRNA from 1 species